ACACGUGAGUAACCUGCCCUUGACUCUGGGAUAAGCCUGGGAAACUGGGUCUAAUACCGGAUAUGACCUUCCAUCGCAUGGUGGUUGGUGGAAAGCUUUUGUGGUUUUGGAUGGACUCGCGGCCUAUCAGCUUGUUGGUGGGGUAAUGGCCUACCAAGGCGACGACGGGUAGCCGGCCUGAGAGGGUGACCGGCCACACUGGGACUGAGACACGGCCCAGACUCCUACGGGAGGCAGCAGUGGGGAAUAUUGCACAAUGGGCGCAAGCCUGAUGCAGCGACGCCGCGUGAGGGAUGACGGCCUUCGGGUUGUAAACCUCUUUCAGUAGGGAAGAAGCGUAAGUGACGGUACCUGCAGAAGAAGCGCCGGCUAACUACGUGCCAGCAGCCGCGGUAAUACGUAGGGCGCAAGCGUUAUCCGGAAUUAUUGGGCGUAAAGAGCUCGUAGGCGGUUUGUCGCGUCUGCCGUGAAAGUCCGGGGCUCAACUCCGGAUCUGCGGUGGGUACGGGCAGACUAGAGUGAUGUAGGGGAGACUGGAAUUCCUGGUGUAGCGGUGAAAUGCGCAGAUAUCAGGAGGAACACCGAUGGCGAAGGCAGGUCUCUGGGCAUUAACUGACGCUGAGGAGCGAAAGCAUGGGGAGCGAACAGGAUUAGAUACCCUGGUAGUCCAUGCCGUAAACGUUGGGCACUAGGUGUGGGGGACAUUCCACGUUUUCCGCGCCGUAGCUAACGCAUUAAGUGCCCCGCCUGGGGAGUACGGCCGCA
rnacentral:rRNA from 1 species